rnacentral:lncRNA from 1 species
GGAGCUCAGAGCUCCCGAUUGGGCAUGAUAAACCAAGGAGGCAUUCUUCUAAAAGUAGAUUGUGUUAAAAAAAAAAAAAAAAAAGCAAAGGUUAUUCGUGAGUAUUAAUAAAAAAAAAGAUAAUAAAUAAUAUUCUUUUUACUAUCUGCCUCCAUUACUUUGGGUUUACCUGUGCAGCUUCAGACGGAAUUUGCUUCCCCUCCCCCGACCCCCUUUUCCCAGUCUGUUUCCUAGAAAACCCGCUGAGAUGGGUGGGAGCAGCUUCUGACUCCUCCAUAAGAACCUUGGAGUUGUUUUCUCACAUGUAAAUCACAGCCUGUCAGGUGCGCAGGAAUGGGAACAAACCUUCAAAUUCUAAAGGCAAAAAAACCCCCCAAGCGAGGCAGUGGAGGGAAAAGCUCCCACUACUUUCCUGUUGCACUUUGAGCUCAGAAAGGAAGAAGCGACCCCCCUUGGGGAUUUGCAGGCAUUCGGUUUUGAUUACUGUUCAGUUAAGACUGGGGAACCUUGAAGCAGAGACCUGUUUUGGUUCUGAGCUUAGUUCAGAAAAAGGAUUUUUUUUUUUUUUGAAGAAAAGUCUAUAAGAACAAAAAAUUCUACUGAUUAAAACACAGAGCUCAAAGAAUCUGAGUGAACAUAUUGUUGACGACUGUAGCCACUACUUUGGUUAGAAAAAUGACAAGUAUCUAUGUCUGGAGUGUUUUUCUGCCUGUGACAACAGUAGUACAUGGAGGCAUUUGAAAAGGAAGUUUUACCUGAGAACCAUAAGGGCACUCCCAGGCGUUUCCUUUUCUUCCUCGCUUCCCAUUCAAAGGAGUGCAAAACAGAAUGUGAAUUUAUAAUGGCUUAACUUGGGAUGCCCAUGGGGGUGCAUUACUUUUCCUUCCUUACUGUGUUUCCUAAAAGUAAAAUUGCAAGAAGCUAUAACAUGUUGCAGACAGUAUAAGGCUUCAGCCAAGAGCCUCUUUUAGAUAUGAAAAUGAAUUCUGGGAAAGAGGAAAUGAAAAUGAAUUAUGAGUAAGUGUGUUGGAUUUGGAGAUUUGGUAUUUUCCAGGGAGAAAACCAUGCCAGUUUUCCUGUAGUGGCAAUGGUGUGCUGCUGUCCUGAGCCUAUUUCUAUGGAAGCAUUCUGUGGAAUGUCACAUUACAAUAUGAAGUCACAGAGCCCCAACAGGAACAGGAGGCAGUGUAGUUAUUUAUCUCAUUAUAUACGGUACAAGUUCAAUAACAUCAUGGCUUUAUUUUACUAUAAUUUAUUGUGAAACCUCUUGUAGGCCAACCUGUGUUGAUUCAAUGCUGGGGAUUUUAAGGAAAAUAUGGAGAAUAAUAUGUACAUGGGAAAGACUUUAACACAAGAUGAUUCUCAAGUAUAAUAUUCAUUACAAUGUGAAAUCUAACUACACUGUUAAGAAUUCAAGAUGAAAAAAAAAGCACAGAAGUUUAAAAAAAACAGUUGUAUUUAGCAGUGGGUUUUAUAACACACGCUAGAUUGGUUAGUUCCUAACGUCCUAAAGUAGUUUAUAGUGCUGUGUUUAUUAAACCGGAUUACGGCUAUAACACACUGAUCAUGUUUUCUAUGAUAUUUUCAUGGUAGCACCUCUGCUGAAUUAUCAUCGGCCACAGUAGAAUAUUUGCAAUAGCUUUAAUUUAAGAAUACUUUAAAAUUAAGUGAACAAAAUAAAUAUUAAUGUUGGAUGACUACAGACGAAACAGGUUUAACAGGAAAUCAAGGCAGCAUCAUUAAAAAGCAACCAUUCUGAAUAAAAUAACCAUCUAAAAACAAAUUUCAUGUGGCGUUAGAAAUCAGCUCUCAGCACUUAAUCACGGUGAAAUUCAUGCUUCGUUUCGGAGUGAAGGAUUUCUAAACAGUUGAAUUCAUUCUUCCCUCAGUAUAUCUAGGUCCCUGGGGUUAAAGUAGAAUUGCGAUGUUUUGGGAUCUUGUAUUUAAGGAAAUAUUGGAUGCUGUGUGGAGCCUUUGCAGCCUGCAGAGCAUUUGUGGCUUCUGCUCAGAUGAAAUUUUAAGCAUAAACACCAAUAUUUGUCUCCUUGCUGUGUUUGAACGGGGUUUCUGCCCAAUACCCUUGUUUGUGGCAGAUGCGUUCUCUCCACUCUGCUGCUCUGUGAUCUGCAAAGGUGAAUUGUUGCUCCUGGAGAUUUGUACCUAGCUGCAUUCUAGGAAAGCAAGACAGGUGUAGUUGCCCCUAACAGCCGAGCUAGCCGUAUCGGUGACAUUCAGCUUCCACGGGUUUGAGAAGGAGAGCAGCAUUUUUUUUUUCCCUUUGGUGUUAAUAAGCUCCUGUCAGCCCCUGGUGCAAGCAGACCUGUGCCACAACAAAUUGCAACAGAGCCCGUGGUGAGUGUUUCUGAGGCAGCACAUGGAAAGGAGAUCCUUUCAGAUUUCCCAACUUGGCGCUCUGGCCAUCAGCGGGAGGAAAUCUUCAGAGCAGGUUAUCGGAGUGAUUUUUAUUUUCAAAUUCCGCUCAGCUGAUAGCACGCCUGAGCCACCCCUUUGCCUUUGGAAUGCCUUUGUUAAUUAGAAAGCUCUAUUUAUAAAGAAGUCUACCGGGUGCAUUUAGUCAACAAAUAUGAGUUUGGAACAAGGCAGUGGCACCGGCUGGGGGCUUGAAUUUCAGGGAGCUCAGAGGCCCUCAAAGGCCUCAUUCAGGCUGACUCGUGGAUGUCUUGCAGGCAGGGGCUGGGGCAAAUCCUCUGCCCUCUGGUGUCCACCGCCUAGGGAGUCCUUGAUAAACACUCAACGAGUAAGUGAAUGAAACACAGAACUAUCAAAAUUGCAAAGUGCUCGGAAGGGAAAGAGUGGAAAGAAUGUGUUACCUGUUUGGAAAAAUCUUCAGGCCGUUCCCCCCAAGUUGGCCCGAGAAAGGGGGCCCUGGGCUCUACUAAGAUGUGGGGAGUGGGCAACGGGAACAUCUUCGAUCUUUUCCACGGUGACCCGGUAGAGGCUAGGAUUUCCCGCAGAUGAAUUAGGAACAAAAAUGCAGAAUUUCUGAGCGUGGAGAAGAAGUAAACAUUUCCAAACGAGGGGUUUGGCGUUUAUUAUUUGUUUCCCCACUUGCUUUAACAAGAUAAAGGCAGGGAUCGAAACAUCCCUGCAGAACAAAUGCUGCCUUGGUACUCAAGGGAGGGCGAUAAGGUCGUAAUAUUUAUUUAUUAUUUUGCGUGCUUCGAACGUACAGUUUAAAGGACCGGGAGGUGGAUUUCGGCCAGGCAUAGGAAUAGUUACUUUCAGGGAGUUUGGCCCAUUGUGGACGCUGCAUGAGACCCAGGCGGCCUGUUCCCGGGCAUCCCCGGCUGCCUGUGGCCAGGGCUGUCCAGGAUUUCACGUUGCAAACGGUAUAGUUGCGGCUGGAUUACACUGUCGGUGUGACAUUAAUGUGAAUCUGAGUGAGGCUGUUAAUUAAUAUUCCCUGGGUCUGAGCAAUGAAAUAAAGAUCAUGUUU